CAGGUGUACCAGCUGGACUUCGGGGGGCGCGUGACCCAGGAGUCGGCCAAGAACUUCCAGAUCGAGCUGGAGGGGCGGCAGGUGAUGCAGUUUGGCAGGAUUGAUGGCAACGCCUACAUCUUGGACUUCCAGUACCCCUUCUCCGCCGUGCAGGCCUUUGCUGUCGCCCUGGCCAACGUGACUCAGCGCCUCAAGUGAUCAGGCCGGUGCAGGAGGAGAGAGGGGCACAGCAGAGCACCUUGGCAAAGAGGUCUGCUCCAGAGGUGCCGGGGGAGCCCGCCGGGGACCACGGGGCCUGGGAAGCCCAGGAGACAACUGCAUAACUGGAACCACCAGCCGGGCCAGCAGAGGGCGCCGACUUGAGUCAUUGUUUAUUUGGUCUUUCGUUACCCUUAUAUUGUCUUUCUUCCUUUCUUCUUUCUUCUUAAACAAAAACGAAAUACAGUGGUUUGGCUUGUGGUAACGAUUCCAUGGGGCGUGCUUACGUACGCUGUGGGAAACGGGCCCUUUAGACUUUGGUGAGAUUGCCUCCUGUCUGCUGUUCAUGUAGACAUAGGGAGUGUGCGUUGUUUUCCCUUCUAGCUUUCAUGAUUCCUCCGACAUCCCCACUAGAGUAAAACAAGAAGCUUUUUAAAAAACACAACCAAAAAUCCUGAUGAUACAGGUUCUCCUGGGGGACAGCAUUUAACUCACACACAUCCUAUUACUCCCCAAUAGGCGACUUGAUUAAUGAAGGGUGUUUGGCAAAUGCACUGUGUUUGAACAAUAAGAGGAGGCUUUUUAAGGGGUGCUAUUCUCUUACCAGGUAUAAGUACGAUUUGCUCCUUGGUGAUGUCAGGGAAGGGAUGGUGGGUGAGUGAGUAGGGGGCUCCUGCACAUCCAUACCUGCACACAGUGCUCCGUGACACCUGGGUGACCCAGACAGAGUGACGUGAAAUAGUACAAGGGCUAUGCUUCUCUGCUGAGGAUGUUUACAAUGGAAGACUCCACUGGUUUUGUAGCAUGUUGAGACUCCGUAGGCUCAACGACGAUCAUCCAGAAUGGCCGACUUAGAGAGAAGGUAGAGAGACAAGAUGCAAAGAUCCAGGCGUGGGGAGGGGUAGUGAUGUCUCCGCUAGUGCCGUGGUAACUCACUGGAUGCCUGCUUGCUGAGAAAGAACCCUUUAUUCCCUCCCUGCUUUUCUUUUUUCACCUGGAAAAUGCUACCAUAAACAUUAUCUUUCUCUUUUGAUAUUAUAGCCCGACACUUUCUUUUUCUAAAAAUGUUGACCGUACUUGAUGUGAAAAUUCUCCUUUCCUCUAGGCUACAUUAAAAUUCUAUCGACUAGAAAUAUUUUCCAUUGGACGAGAAAUGGUAACUUAAAAAAAAAAUUAAGUCUUUACCAGAGUAUCAAAAGAUAGGAGUAUGGUCAAAU